CCUACGGGCGGCAGCAGUGGGGAAUAUUGCACAAUGGGGGAAACCCUGAUGCAGCGACGCCGCGUGAGCGAUGAAGUAUUUCGGUAUGUAAAGCUCUAUCAGCAGGGAAGAAAAUGACGGUACCUGACUCAGCAGCCCCGGCUAACUACGUGCCAGCAGCCGCGGUAAUACGUAGGGGGCAAGCGUUAUCCGGGUUGACUGGGUGUAAAGGGAGCGUAGACGGCAAUGCAAGCCAGAUGUGAAAGCCCGGGGCUCAACCCCGGGACUGCAUUUGGAACUGUGUAGCUGGAGUGUGGGAGAGGCAGGCGGAAUGCCUAGUGUAGCGGUGAAAUGCGUAGAUAUUAGGAAGAACACCAGUGGCGAAGGCGGCCUGCUGGACGAUGACUGACGUUGAGGCUCGAAAGCGUGGGGAGCGAACAGGAUUAGAUACCCGUGUAGUC
rnacentral:rRNA from 1 species